rnacentral:rRNA from 1 species
AGAUAAGUGCUGAAAGCAUCUAAGCACGAAACUUGCCCCGAGAUGAGUUCUCCCUGAGACUUUAGGUCUCCUGAAGGAACGUUGAAGACGACGACGUUGAUAGGCCGGGUGUGUAAGCGCAGCGAUGCGUUGAGCUAACCGGUACUAAUGAACCGUGAGGCUUAACCUUAC